rnacentral:rRNA from 1 species
GAUUUCUGGUUCGGCGCACUUGGCCCGUCUCGGUUUACGGGAUUGCGUGCCGGUGUGCGCCAUCCAUCCUUCGGGAAAUACACAGCUACCCUUCACUGGGCCGGUUGUGCUAUCCCGAUCUUUUACUUUGAAAAAAUUAGAGUGUUUAAAGCAGGUGUUGCGCCUUGAAUACAUUAGCAUGGAAUAAUAAUUUAGGACUUCUGCCUAUUUUAUUGGUUUCUAGGUUUGGAGUAAUGAUUGAUAGGGAUAGUUGGGGGUGCUAGUAUUCAUCGGCCAGAGGUGAAAUUCUUGGAUUCGAUGAAGACUAACUAAUGCGAAAGCAUU